rnacentral:rRNA from 1 species
AUUGAACGCUGGCGGCAGGCCUAACACAUGCAAGUCGAGCGGAUGAAGAGAGCUUGCUCUCUGAUUCAGCGGCGGACGGGUGAGUAAUGCCUAGUAAUCUGCCUGGUAGUGGGGGACAACGUUUCGAAAGGAACGCUAAUACCGCAUACGUCCUACGGGAGAAAGCAGGGCACCUUCGGGCCUCGCGCUAUCAGAUGAGUCUAGGUCGGAUUAGCUAGUUGGUGAGGUAAUGGCUCACCAAGGCGACGAUCCGUAACUGGUCUGAGAGGAUGAUCAGUCACACUGGAACUGAGACACGGUCCAGACUCCUACGGGAGGCAGCAGUGGGGAAUAUUGGACAAUGGGCGAAAGCCUGAUCCAGCCAUGCCGCGUGUGUGAAGAAGGUCUUCGGAUUGUAAAGCACUUUAAGUUGGGAGGAAGGGCAGUAAGUUAAUACCUUGCUGUUUUGACGUUACCGACAGAAUAAGCACCGGCUAACUCUGUGCCAGCAGCCGCCGUAAUAC